rnacentral:rRNA from 1 species
UACGGAGGGGGCUAGCGUUGUUCGGAAUUACUGGGCGUAAAGCGCGCGUAGGCGGCUUUGUAAGUUAGAGGUGAAAGCCCGGAGCUUAACUCCGGAACUGCCUUUAAGACUGCAUCGCUAGAAUCGUGGAGAGGUGAGUGGAAUUCCGAGUGUAGAGGUGAAAUUCGUAGAUAUUCGGAAGAACACCAGUGGCGAAGGCGGCGACCUGGACGAUUACUGACGCUGAGACGCGAAAGCGUGGGGAGCAAACAGG